rnacentral:rRNA from 1 species
ACUAUCCAAACCAGAUCACAGCACGGCGUCUUCCGACCCAAACGGAUCUUCGAUCUCUCCGUCACCACGCCUCCCUCCCCCAUACCCCGCAACUAUCGCGCCGCCCUCCUUGACCAGAAUUGGUCCGACGCCAUGCAUGCCGAGUUCACUGCCCUUCUUCAGAAUCACACCUGGACGCUUGUUCCCAAACCUCCCGGCGCCAACAUUGUCUCUGGUAAAUGGGUAUAUCGACACAAAUUCCAUUCUGAUGGUUCCCUUGCUCGUCACAAAGCUAGAUGGGUUGUUCGCGGCUUUUCUCAAGAACACGGCAUCGACUAUGAUGAAACAUUCUCCCCUGUCGUCAAACCAGCCACAAUUCGUAUCGUUUUGUCCCUCGCCGUCUCAUCUCAUUGGCCAAUUCAUCAACUCGAUGUUAAAAAUGCGUUUCUUCACGGCACUUUAGCAGAGACUGUAUAUUGCCAGCAGCCACAGGGAUUCGAAGACCCCUCUCAUCCCCACCAUGUUUGCCUUCUUCAAAAAUCCUUAUACGGCCUCAAACAGGCUCCUCGCGCGUGGUUCACCAGGUUUUCUUCCUUUAUUUCUACCAUCGGUUUCUCUGCUUCUAAAUCUGAUUCCUCCCUAUUUACUUUCCACUCUUCUACAGCCACUGCCUAUAUUCUUCUUUAUGUCGACGACAUAGUCCUCACAGCAUCUUCCACUGAAUUCCUUCAGCAGGUCAUUUCUACUCUCAGCUCCGAAUUC